GAUGAACGCUGGCGGCGUGCCUAAUACAUGCAAGUCGAGCGAACAGACGAGGAGCUUGCUCCUCUGACGUUAGCGGCGGACGGGUGAGUAGCACGUGGAUAACCUACCUAUAAGACUGGGAUAACUUCGGGAAACCGGAGCUAAUACCGGAUAAUAUAUUGAACCGCAUGGUUCAAUAGUGAAAGACGGUUUUGCUGUCACUUAUAGAUGGAUCCGCGCCGCAUUAGCUAGUUGGUAAGGUAACGGCUUACCAAGGCAACGAUGCGUAGCCGACCUGGGAGGGUGAUCGGCCACACUGGAACUGAGACACGGUCCAGACUCCUACGGGAGGCAGCAGUAGGGAAUCUUCCGCAAUGGGCGAAAGCCUGACGGAGCAACGCCGCGUGAGUGAUGAAGGUCUUCGGAUCGUAAAACUCUGUUAUUAGGGAAGAACAAAUGUGUAAGUAACUAUGCACGUCUUGACGGUACCUAAUCAGAAAGCCACGGCUAACUACGUG
rnacentral:rRNA from 1 species